UCAGCUGUGGCAAUACCAACUACAAAGUGUUACUUGGACCUGAAAUAUAACAAGAAAUACAAGUUAGCAAACAAAGAAUGCGGCAUCACCUAUAAAUGCACAACUGAGAAACUGAAGGAUGAGCUGAUGAAAUUCUGGACCAUGGCCUAUACCUCUAGCCCCCACUUCGUGGCGGGGCGCUUAGCAACAUGCACUGCAUCUGGAGGUUUCUGCCUUCUGAGCACAGUAAUUUAUGCUGAAGCCAUGCUUAGGUCUUACUUUCUCCAUCGGAGCUUCAACUAUUGUAGUGGAGAUUCUGAAUACAAGUGGUCCACAACCUUGAUUCUUGUAACUCAGACUGUGGCAAUAGAAGUAGGAACUAUUGCACCAGCUUUUAGAUGGUUCAUAGCCAUAAAUUUGUAGUGGAGACUCUGAAUACAAGUGGUCCACAACCUUGAUUCUUGUAACUCAGACUGUGGCAAUAGGAGUAGGAACUAUUGCACCAGCUUUUAGAUGGUUCAUAGCCAUAAAUUAUCGCU
rnacentral:lncRNA from 1 species